UUUAUGUUUGAGAGCGGAGCGUCCAGGAGAGCAGGAGCUUCUCAAAGAGACAGAUGCCCAAUUCCAAGGUGUCAAAUUGCAAAAUGUAAUUUUUUUU